rnacentral:rRNA from 1 species
AGAGAGAGACAUGCGCGCAUAUCAAUAAGCGGAGGAAAAGAAACUAACAAGGAUUCCCUUAGUAACGGCGAGUGAAGCGGGAAGAGCUCAAAUUUGAAAUCUUCAAGGUUUUACCUUGACGAAUUGUAGUUUAAAGAAGUGUUUUCUGCUGAAGUUUUGGUAAAAGUUCUUUGGAAUAGGACAUCAUAGAGGGUGAGAAUCCCGUAUUUGACCAUUAUUUUCAGCUUUGUGAUACACUUUCAAAGAGUCGGAUUGUUUGGGAAUGCAGUCCAAAAUGGGUGGUAAAUUUCAUCUAAAGCUAAAUAUUGGCGAGAGACCGAUAGCGAACAAGUACCGUGAGGGAAAGAUGAAAAGAACUUUGAAAAGAGAGUUAAACAGUACGUGAAAUUGUCAAAAGGGGAAGCGUUUGACACCAGUGUUGUUUUCCCUCGAAAAUCAAUUAAAAAUGGCUCGAUUUUGUAUUGCUUGAGACCUUAAAAGCUCACUGUACAUUUUUCGUGUCUUUUUUAAUGCACUUUUCGUUUAACAAGUCUACAUCAGUUUCUUUUGUUGUAAAAGGGUCAUUGGAAGGUGGCUUUCUUUUCGGAGAAAGUGUUUAUAGCCUUUGGCCUCUGCAAUCGAAGAGACUGAGGUCUGCAGCGUAGACUCUUCGGGGUUAGAUACAUUUGUGCUAAGUUAUAGCUUUUUAUAGACAACUUGUUGACUAUAAUUAGUCUUGUAGCUUACUCGCCUAUGCUAUUUUACCUACGCUUAGGAUGUUGAGUCGUAGAGCACGCA